ACACACCUCUCCGCUUCCCUCCACCCCCUCCAGACACACCUCCUCUCCCCGCUUCCCUCCACCCCCUCAUCCAUCAUUCUACUCCACUACCUCUUACUUCAAUAGCCCUCACCCCAGAAGGCUUACAGAUACAGUCACUACACACUUAUGCCUCCAUCACAUAACAACUCGAUGGAAAUUAAUGAAAUCAACAGACCUGAAGGACCUUUGAGUUAAACCAUCAGACCUCAGAUAGCUGAAUAAAUGCCGACAUUCAACUAUUGGUACCGUCCACAUUAGAACUGGUUGAUCGUGUGUGUGUGUGUGUGUGUAUGUGUGUGUGUGUGUGUGUGUGUGUGUGUGUGUGUGUGUGUGUGUGUGUGUAUGCGUGUGUGUGUGUCAGUCACUCAUGAUCACCUCAACCCGACGAAGGAAACUUACGAACUUACAACAGAUCGAGUAAGAUAAAAAGAGAUAUACCCUCGGUGAUUUCAUGUCCUGUAGAUAAAGACCAUACAUAAAGUCUUAAGACGUCUGGUUUUUAAAGUAGUUUCUGUAGAUAAAAGACUAAAAUUGGGGCGUUUACUGUAGAAGACUAUAUAGCUUCCCGUAGGUGCUGCAGGUGGGAAUCUUAAAUGUUUACAUCGACUGUACAAACAUGGGUAGAUCCUCAGACAAUCAACUUUAUAUAUGAUUAAAUAAACAAUAACUUGCUAUUACUCCUGUUACAUACUCGGCCAGGUGAUUGUUAUGUGUAUUAGGUCUUUUAGUUGUUAAAUGUUAUAUAAAUACAUAGAUAUAUACAGUAUAAUAUAUAAAAUAACGUGAUGAAAUGCGCUGUCGUAAGUUCACUCAAUCCCUAAUUCUUGCACAAUAUGUCUCUGAUAACCCUUCCCAAGACGCUGUUGUGACCUGAUCUGGUGUGAAUUAAUCAUUUUGUUGACAUUAUGGUGUUCAGUCCUCAUCAUUCAACAUACAAUCCCAAAAAAAUUAGUGAAGAAUACUUAUUAAGGUGUAGUGAUCUACUUUGUGUGUUAAUGGACUCAAACAAAUGAAUUUUAAUCAAAGUUCAACAAUAUCAAAACAGAGAGGCAUUAUAAACAAUGAAAAUGUAAACAAAGACACAAUGUUAACAAGGAUACAAUGUAAACAAUGAUACGAUGUAAACAAAUACACAAUAUAAACAGGGAUAUACAGUAAUGUAAACAGACACAAUGUAAACAAUGAUACGAUGUAAACAAAUACACAAUAUAAACAGGGAUAUACAGUAAUGUAAACAGACACAAUGUAAACAAGGAUGCAAAGUAAACAAUGAUACAAUCUUAAUUAUUUUACUUAAACUUAGAAAACAAAAUAUUUCACAUCAGUCGUUAUGCGGCCGGUAACUUCAUGUUGAUUCUCAUAUAAUGUUUAACUCCGAAACAAAACAAGGUUAACCAGGACUAACCCCACAUAUUUCCCCCGUCAAGGCAGAAAAACCCACAUAUCUCCCCCAUCAAGGCAGAAAAACCGACAUAUCUCCCCUGUCAAGGCAGAAAAACCCACAUAUCUCCCCCGUCAAGGCAGAAAAACCGACAUAUCUCCCCCGUCAAGGCAGAUUAAUGUACCCAAAGACACAGCCGUCGUUUCUGGGUUAAGUUAGACUGCGUAUAUAAUAGAAUAAAAUAAAAGGUCAUGAAGAAGGAAACCCAAACUUUCUUAUACUGUAUAUUCAUUUAUAAUCUGGGAAUUUUAUUUUGAUUCCCUUGUAUCAAAUUAUCGAUUAAUAAACGUUUCGUGUUUUGGUUCGUCUGAUUCUUGAACGGUUUGAUUCUUUACUUAUGAAACGAUGUUAUUUAGAAAUCUUCUGUGUGAUGAUGUAAUAAAUUCUAAUAGAUUAUUUUCAUAUCAAUAAUAUAUAUAUAUAUAUACUGCACUGUAUUGUUUUAGGAUCACUUGAAAACUAGACACCUCAACUUAUUUCACACCCUAACCUAACCUAACCAAAACCUCAGGCUAAUCUUCACGUGAUCCCAAUUCUUAAAAUGAAUCUCUUAGGAAAAUAAUGGUAAGGAAAGACAUUAAAGGAACGGUGUCUUUCAAUGUAUAAUAAACUGAACGAAUUUAGGUUUUAAAGAUGAAUCUGUCCACGUUUAGGGUUUAAAGUAGUAGGUACCCUAAAACUUAAGGAAUUAAUAUAGCUACUGAAGCAGAUCUAUGUUCCUUAAUAGUUGUUUACAGAUGGUUAGUUCAGAUAUAUUUUUUGAAAUGUUAUGAAGGUGUAGUUUUGUUUACUUAUCUAGAAAUGAGAGUUAAAGAGGUCGUUUUAUAAGGCACGAGACAAUUCAACUCUUUUAAACAACGAAAGUAAACAGGACCUAAAGAGUAAAAGGACUACUUUAUAAGGCACGGGAUCCUUUAAGUCACCUCUAUAAACAAAGACUUAAACGGGAUCGUAUGUACAGUAAUGUAUUUAUCCCCCAACUGGUUUAGGCGCGUAGCUUGGGAGUAAAGGAGUGGACUUGACGCUAUCAAGGGCUGCUUAACCAUACAAGGUAUCCAUUAGGUGAUGUUCAACAUGUUCAAUAUAAGAUUUGGAGACGAUGGUGCUAAAAAAAAUUAACUCGUCAAAUAAAAUGGAUUGAUACUUUAUUCUAAUAUACAGAAAGAUAAACCAGAGUGAAAAUUUAGAUAACUUUUUUUUUGUUACUUAGAACUUUUUAGGGGCGUAAUUAAAUCUGAUUAUUAGAAGGAUUACAUGAUUUUAGUUGCUAUUUUAACUAUUUAAGCUAUUUAAACUAUUUAUUAGCCUAACUAUUUGUUUAGAUUAUCAUUCUAAAUAAAUAUUAUUAUGUUUUGAUCAUAAUAUUAGAAUUAAGGGUGAAGAAAAUAUCCGUACAAGCUUACAAUACUAAAUUCAUCCCAGUGUCCAUUAUCAACAGAUAUAAACUUAUAAUUUAUAUCUCGAAAGAAUCAAAUCAAAAUCAAUAUUGAUGUUGUGGCCUUCAACACCUAGACUGGUCCCCCUUUGUCAGAUACGAGACAAAAGGUGUUCAUUUGCCUAACGACGGCGUCUGAUUAAUUGAUUUGUUCCCACUGGUAGAUGAGUUAUAGUUAAAAGAAAACUUAUGGAGCUUAACAGCCUUAAUUGUAACAAAAAUAAAAUCCUUUUUAUCUUCAUCAGAAAUUGUGAUUUCCUCUGUAGCGCGCCAUGUUUGUUAACACUGCAACCCGCCUCUCUGUGAGUAGCAAUUCAGUCACUCGGAUUCUGUCGUUCUGUAAAUGAUUACUUGUUACUUUUGACAACAGGGUACCAGUUUACUUCACCAUCACUUCAGUGUACUCUAAGUGUCUUUUACUUUUGCUUAUCGUUGUCUACCGUUGUGUUCCCGUCCUACACUGUUGUAACAGAAUCCAUGUGUAUAUGAAACUAUUAACAACACGACAAGGUAUAUGGUUCGCUGUAUAUCAAAAUGAUGAUAUGUAUUGUUUGUGAUAUCUUCGUGUUAUACAAACAUAUGUAAAAAUCAGUUAUAUGGAGGUUUGUUCCUGAACACAAAACUGAAUGUUCAAAAAAUAUUACCGUGUACUCAAUUCAUGCUUCAGUUUUGAACGUUCGUAUCUUUGCUGUUUAAGUAAACUUUUCGUAAAUAAGAAAUCUCCUUUAGAAAUGUAUUCUAAAACAGAUUAUAUUAUCUACAAAAAUGUUUUAUUUGAACUUCAUAUUUCACGGAGUUUCAACUUGAUCUCUUUAUACUCAAACUGAAAUAAAUCUUUUAUGUC
rnacentral:lncRNA from 1 species